rnacentral:rRNA from 1 species
AUGAACGCUAGCGGCAGGCUUAACACAUGCAAGUGGAGGGGUAUAAGUUUUCGGAUUUAGAGACCGGCGCACGGGUGCGUAACGUGUAUGCAAUCUACCUUUUACAGAGGGAUAGCCCAGAGAAAUUUGGAUUAAUACCUCAUAGCAUUAUGAAAUGGCAUCAUUUUAUAAUUAAAGUCACAAUGGUAAAAGAUGAGCAUGCGUCCCAUUAGCUAGUUGGUAAGGUAACGGCUUACCAAGGAUACGAUGGGUAGGGG